rnacentral:rRNA from 1 species
AAGUCGUAACAAGGUUUCCGUAGGUGAACCUGCGGAAGGAUCAUUAAAGAUUCCGGCUCCGGCCGAACCAAACCUCUCUUGCGCUGUGCGCCCUUGCGGGCUUGCACGCGCAGAGAAAACACUCUCACACCCUGUGCACGUAUCGGUCGCGGCGGUUAAACGCCGCGUCCGCCCACAUAUUAAACUACCAGUCUAGCAAGUAAAAUACUAUAAAUCAAUACAACUUUCAACAACGGAUCUCUUGGCUCUCGCAUCGAUGAAGAACGCAGCGAAAUGCGAUAAGUAAUGUGAAUUGCAGAAUUCAGUGAAUCAUCGAAUCUUUGAACGCACCUUGCGCUCCUUGGUAUUCCAUUGAGCAUGCCUGUUUGAGUGUCACGAUAACCCUCACGCCUCGCGAUGUCAAAGUCACGUGGUUGUGGAUUUGGACGUCUGCCGUCGCCGGCUCGUCUUGAAAUGCAUUAGCUCGCAGCCUUUUAGAGUGCUCGGCACGGUGUGAUAAUAUCUGCUCCGUUUGCCUCAGGCCUCUUCUGCUGGACGCGGCUUCUAAUCGUCCCACUGCGGACAGACACUUUUUAUAAGCCUUUUGGCCUCAAAUCAGGUAGGACUACCCGCUGAACUUAAGCAUAUCAAUAAGCGGAGGAAAAGAAACUAACAAGGAUUCCCCUAGUAACGGCGAGUGAAGCGGGAAAAGCUCAAAUUUGAAAUCUGGCGGUCUACGGCCGUCCGAGUUGUAAUCUAGAGAGGUGUUUUCCGUGCCGGACCACGUACAAGUCCCUUGGAACAGGGCGUCAUAGAGGGUGAGAAUCCCGUCCGUGAUGUGGACUGCCGGUGCUCUGUGAUACACCUUCAAAGAGUCGAGUUGUUUGGGAAUGCAGCUCAAAAUGGGUGGUAAAUUCCAUCUAAAGCUAAAUACAGGCGAGAGACCGAUAGCGAACAAGUACCGUGAGGGAAAGAUGAAAAGAACUUUGGAAAGAGAGUUAAACAGUACGUGAAAUUGUUGAAAGGGAAACGCUUGAAGUCAGUCGCGUCUGGCGGGACUCAGCCUCGCUUUUGCUUGGUGCACUUCCCGUCGGAUGGGCCAGCAUCGAUUUUGGACGCCGGAGAAAGGCUUGGGGAAUGUGGCAACCUCGGUUGUGUUAUAGCCCCUUGUUGUACACGGUGACUGGGAUCGAGGACUGCAGCGCGCCUUUGGUUGGGGUUCGCCCACAUUCGCGCUUAGGAUGCUGGCGUAAUGGCUUUAAACGACC